rnacentral:rRNA from 1 species
GACGAACGCUGGCGGCGUGCUUAACACAUGCAAGUCGAACGAAGAGCGAUGGAAGCUUGCUUCUAUCAAUCUUAGUGGCGAACGGGUGAGUAACGCGUAAUCAACCUGCCCUUCAGAGGGGGACAACAGUUGGAAACGACUGCUAAUACCGCAUACGAUCUAAUCUCGGCAUCGAGGAUAGAUGAAAGGUGGCCUCUACAUGUAAGCUAUCACUGAAGGAGGGGAUUGCGUCUGAUUAGCUAGUUGGAGGGGUAACGGCCCACCAAGGCGAUGAUCAGUAGCCGGUCGGGGAGGAUGGACGGCCACAUUGGGACUGAGACACGGCCCAGACUGCUACGGGAGGCAGCAGUGGGGAAUCUUCCGCAAUGGACGAAAGUCUGACGGAGCAACGCCGCGUGAGUGAUGACCGCCUUCGGGUUGUAAAGCUCUGUUAAUCGGGACGAAAGGCCUUCUUGCGAAUAGUGAGAAGGAUUGACGGUACCGGAAUAGAAAGCCACGGCUAACUACGUG